rnacentral:lncRNA from 1 species
GCUCUACUCUCCGCUUGCGUAUUUAUCCCAGGCAUUCCCACCGGGAGAAUAAUGGAGUCGGAAGUUCGAGCUGGAAACGGAAGUCUCUGGCAGGAAAGGGGAAAGUGACUAUAUCUGGACUAUAGAGUAUGGAGAUUCAAGGAAAUAAGUGGAGUGAACUUUUUCUGAUUAAGGUGUAUUGUAGGUCAGUGCUGAGGACUUACUCUAGAAGAUUUGUGAAACUGGAU